AGUGAACGCUGGCGGUAGGCCUAACACAUGCAAGUCGAACGGCAGCACAGUAAGAGCUUGCUCUUACGGGUGGCGAGUGGCGGACGGGUGAGGAAUACAUCGGAAUCUACUUUUUCGUGGGGGAUAACGUAGGGAAACUUACGCUAAUACCGCAUACGACCUACGGGUGAAAGCAGGGGAUCUUCGGACCUUGCGCGAUUGAAUGAGCCGAUGUCGGAUUAGCUAGUUGGCGGGGUAAAGGCCCACCAAGGCGACGAUCCGUAGCUGGUCUGAGAGGAUGAUCAGCCACACUGGAACUGAGACACGGUCCAGACUCCUACGGGAGGCAGCAGUGGGGAAUAUUGGACAAUGGGCGCAAGCCUGAUCCAGCCAUACCGCGUGGGUGAAGAAGGCCUUCGGGUUGUAAAGCCCUUUUGUUGGGAAAGAAAAGCAGCAGGUUAAUACCCCGCUGUUCUGACGGUACCCAAAGAAUAAGCACCGGCUACCUUCGUG
rnacentral:rRNA from 1 species